rnacentral:rRNA from 1 species
UACGUAGGGGGCGAGCGUUGUCCGGAUUUACUGGGCGUAAAGCGCGUGUAGGUGGGCCGGUAAGUCGGGUGUGAAAGCCCGGGGCUCAACCCCGGGACGCCGCCCGAAACUGGCGGCCUUGAGGCCGGAAGAGGGGAGUGGAAUUCCUGGUGUAGCGGUGAAAUGCGUAGAGAUCAGGAGGAACACCCGUGGCGAAGGCGGCUCCCUGGUCCGGCCCUGACGCUGAGACGCGAAAGCGUGGGGAGCGAAC